GAAAUCGAUCAAACUCUGGUCAAGAAUGUUGUAGAGAUUUUUGUUGACCUUGGUUACGAGAAUGACAUGCAGGAUCUGAAAUAUUAUGUUGAUGGUUUUGAAACGGCGUUUUUGAAUGAUACAACUAGAACCCGGUUACUGUCUAAUCCACUCAUAGAAAUUAUUUAAUCGGUAGUCCAAAAACAUGUUUUUGGACCAAAAUUCUUUACCACUGGUCCACCACACGUAAUGUGUUCUUUUACAGAUGCCCAUAAUACCCUUGACAUCAAAUAAUAAGGAGACUUAAAUCUUAAAAUCAUCAUUUGCAUUUUCCUUUCCGUGCUCGAGCUCUAAUCUAGAUAUGAAGAUUGUGAACUUGUUAGGAUCUCUGAUGGAGUCGUGUUUUCAAGCAAAUAUAUUUUGAUCAUCCUUGGAUUUUAUGAAAAUGGCGUUGCUCGUAAUCGUGCAUUAGAUCCAGCAAUUCGUUCUCGGCUUAAACAGUUUUCUGCAAUGAUAGGAGUUGGCACCAUCAGCGUGCUCAUCAAACAAGGAGACGAUAUCAAAUGUGUGAUAUCUACUAAAUUUUACUUGGUACAUAUCAAUAUGUACUAGGUUUUUGCUCAGUAGAUAUGUACUAAAGUUUCACUGUAUACAUAUUGAUAUGUACCGGGUGAUACAAUAUGUACUAAAGUUGGAUAAGUUAUGUUUAUGGCAAAAUUUUCUUUUAGGUACCAUGUUUG